AAUAUUGCACAAACGAGGCAACCCUGAUCCAGCCAUCCCGCGUGUGUGAAGAAGGUCUUCGUAUUGUAUAUCACUUUAAGUUGGGAGGAAGGGCUUUAGGCUAAUACCCUGAAGAUUUGACGUUACCAACAGAAUAAGCACCGCCUAACUCGUUGCCAGCAGCCGCGGUAAUACAGAGGGUGCAAGCGUGAAUCGGAAUUACUGGGCGUAAAGCGCGCGUAGGUGGUUCAGUAAGAUGGGUGUGAAAUCCCCGGGCUUAACCUGGGAACUGCUUUCAUAACUGCUGAGCUAGAGUACGGUAGAGGGUAGUGGAAUUUCCUGUGUAGCGGUGAAAUGCGUAGAUAUAGGAAGGAACACCAGUGGCGAAGGCGACUACCUGGACUGAUACUGACACUGAGGUGCGAAAGCGUGGGGAGCAAACA
rnacentral:rRNA from 1 species